rnacentral:rRNA from 1 species
UUCGCCCUUAGAGUUUGAUUCUGGCCCAGGACGAACGCUGGCGGCGUGCCUAACACAUGCAAGUCGAACGGACGAGAGAGCUUCGGCUCUCAAGUUAGUGGCGGACGGGUGAGUAACGCGUGAGCAACCUGCCUUUCAGAGGGGGAUAACGUUUGGAAACAGACGCUAAUACCGCGUAAGAUAGCAGCACCGCAUGAUGCAGCUAUUAAAGGAGCAAUCCGCUGAAAGAUGGGCUCGCGUCCGAUUAGAUAGUUGGUGAGGUAACGGCUCACCAAGUCGACGAUCGGUAGCCGGACUGAGAGGUUGAACGGCCACAUUGGGACUGAGACACGGCCCAGACUCCUACGGGAGGCAGCAGUGGGGGAUAUUGCACAAUGGGCGAAAGCCUGAUGCAGCAACGCCGCGUGAGGGAAGACGGUUUUCGGAUUGUAAACCUCUGUCUUCGGUGACGAAACAAAUGACGGUAGCCGAGGAGGAAGCCACGGCUAACUACGUGCCAGCAGCCGCGGUAAUACGUAGGUGGCAAGCGUUGUCCGGAAUUACUGGGUGUAAAGGGAGCGUAGGCGGGAUAGCAAGUCAGCUGUGAAAUUCAUGGGCUUAACCCAUGACGUGCAGUUGAAACUGCUUUUCUUGAGUGGAGUAGAGGCAGGCGGAAUUCCGAGUGUAGCGGUGAAAUGCGUAGAUAUCCGGAGGAACACCAGUGGCGAAGGCGGCCUGCUGGGCUCUAACUGACGCUGAGGCUCGAAAGUGUGGGGAGCAAACAGGAUUAGAUACCCUGGUAGUCCACACUGUAAACGAUGAUUGCUAGGUGUGGGGGGGUCUGACCCCUUCCGUGCCGGAGUUAACGCAAUAAGCAAUCCACCUGGGGAGUGCGGCCGCAAGGUUGAAACUCAAAGGAAUUGACGGGGGCCCGCACAAGCAGUGGAUUAUGUGGUUUAAUUCGAAGCAACGCGAAGAACCUUACCAGGUCUUGACAUCCAACUAACGAGAUAGAGAUAUGUCAGGUGCCCUUCGGGGAAAGUUGAGACAGGUGGUGCAUGGUUGUCGUCAGCUCGUGUCGUGAGAUGUUGGGUUAAGUCCCGCAACGAGCGCAACCCCUGCCAUUAGUUGCUACGCAAGAGCACUCUAAUGGGACCGCUACCGACAAGGUGGAGGAAGGUGGGGACGACGUCAAAUCAUCAUGCCCCUUAUGACCUGGGCUACACACGUAAUACAAUGGCCGUUAACAACAGGAAGCAAUGCCGCGAGGCGGAGCAAAACCUCAAAAACGGUCUCAGUUCGGAUCGCAGGCUGCAACCCGCCUGCGUGAAGUUGGAAUUGCUAGUAAUCGCGAAUCAGCAUGUCGCGGUGAAUACGUUCCCGGGCCUUGCACUCACCGCCCGUCA